rnacentral:rRNA from 1 species
CCUACGGGAGGCAGCAGUGGGGAAUAUUGGACAAUGGGGGGAACCCUGAUCCAGCGACGCCGCGUGAGUGAAGAAGUAUUUCGGUAUGUAAAGCUCUAUCAGCAGGGAAGAAAGAAAUGACGGUACCUGACUAAGAAGCCUCGGCUAACGACGUGCCAGCAGCCGCGGGAAGACGGAGGGUGCAAGCGUUAUCCGGAUUUACUGGGUGUAAAGGGAGCGUAGGCGGCGAUGCAAGUCUGAAGUGAAAGGCGGGGGCCCAACCCCUGGACUGCUUUGGAAACUGUAUGGCUGGAGUGCAGGAGAGGUAAGUGGAAUGCGUAGUGUAGCGGUGAAAUGCGUAGAUAUCAGGAGGAACACCAGUGGCGAAGGCGGCUUACUGGACUGUAACUGACGUUGAGGCACGAAAGCGUGGGGAGCAAACAGGAUUAGAUACCCGUGUAGUC